rnacentral:rRNA from 1 species
CCUACGGGCGGCAGCAGUGAGGAAUAUUGGUCAAUGGACGAAAGUCUGACCCAGCCACGUCGCGUGAAGGAUGACUGCCCUAUGGGUUGUAAACUUCUUUUAUAUGGGAAUAACCUGUUCCCCGUGUGGGAUUUUGUAUGUACCGUAUGAAUAAGGAUCGGCUAACUACGUGCCAGCAGCCGCGGUAAGACGGAGGAUCCGAGCGUUAUCCGGAUGUAUUGGGUUUAAAGGGAGCGUAGGUGGAUUGUUAAGUCAGUUGUGAAAGUUUUCGGCUCAACCGGAAAAUUGCAGUUGAAACUGGCAGUCGUGAGUACAGUAGAGGUUGGCGGAAUUCGUGGUGUAGCGGUGAAAUGCUUAGAGAUCACGAAGAACUCCGAUUGCGAAGGCAGCUCACUGGACUGCAACUGACACUGAGGCUCGAAAGCGUGGGUAUCAAACAGGAUUAGAUACCCUUGUAGUC